rnacentral:rRNA from 1 species
UACGUAGGGUGCGAGCGUUUAAUCGGAAUACUGGGCGUAAAGCGUGCGCAGGCGGUUUCACAAGCUCGAUGUGAAAGCCCCGGGCUUAACCUGGGAAUGGCAUUGAGGACUGUGGAGCUCGAGUGCGGCAGAGGGAGUGGAAUUCCACGUGUAGCAGUGAAUGCGUAGAGAUGUGGAGGAACACCGAUGGCGAAGGCAGCCUCCGUGGCCGACACUGACGCUCAGUGCACGAAAGCGUGGGGAGCAA